rnacentral:rRNA from 1 species
UUCUUGCGAAGUACUCCCCAGGUGGUUACUUAACGCUUUCGCUUGGACACUGACUGUAUAUCGCCAAUAUCGAGUGAACAUAGUUUAGGGCGUGGACUACCAGGGUAUCUAAUCCUGUUCGCUCCCCACGCUUUCGUGCCUCAGCGUCAAUAAUAGUUUAGCUAGCUGCCUUCGCAAUUGGUGUUCUACAACAUAUCUAUGCAUUUCACCGCUACAUGUUGUAUUCCGCCAGCCUCAACUAUAUUCAAGAAAAUCAGUAUCAAUGGCAGUUCCCAAGUUGAGCUCGGGGCUUUCACCACUGACUUAAUUUCCCGCCUGCGCACCCUUUAAACCCAAUGAUUCCGGAUAACGCUUGGAUCCUCCGUAUUACCGCGGCUGCUGGCACGGAGUUAGCCGAUCCUUAUUCUUACAGUACCGUCAAGCUCCCUCACGAGGGAGUGUUUCUUCCUGUACAAAAGCAGUUUACAACCCAUAGGGCAGUCUUCCUGCACGCGGCAUGGCUGGAUCAGGCUCUCGCCCAUUGUCCAAUAUUCCUCA